GCCCACGUGAUGCGCUGGCGGCCGUAGGACUGGUUGCACCGUGAGGGUUUCCUGGGCUGGGGGCGCCGGCGGGGCAGCGAGGUUGAGGCUCGCGAGAAGCGGGAAGCGGAAAGCAGGACCGGGUCCGGUUGUAGACAGGGACCAAAAGGCCGAGGGUCGGCUGCCAUUAGUCUCUGCAGGCCUCCCGAGAUAGGGCGUAGGAGCUUGAGGAGUUCAGAAAGCGGGCUGCGGACUCCUGUCUCGGUCUUUGGUUUGAGCCCUGGCUUCGGCCUUACUCGUAUUUCCCAGCAAGGACGGCUCCUCUCAGUCUUUGCUGAAGUUCGGGGUUGGACUUUAUUAUUAUUCAUUUAUUAUUAUUAAUUAUUAUUAUUAUUUUUUUUCCCACUGUAUGUAUUAUUUUAUUAUUAUUAUUUCCCCCCCCUGUAUGUAAGCACUGGCUGUCCUGCGCGGAGCGCCGUGCAGCAGCCAUGAGGUAAAAGCUUGGGUGGGGGCUGGGACUUAGAGAUGCUUGAGGUAUGUUCUUUACCCACCUGCAAUGUUGGAGAGAGACAGCCAGCGAGAGAGGGAACACAGCAGGGGAGUGGGAGAGGAAGAAGCAGGCUCCCAGCGGAGGAGCCUGAUGUGGGACUCGAUCCCAGAACACCGGGAUCACGCCCUGAGCCGAAGGCAGACGCUUAACGACUGCGCUACCCAGGCGCCCCUAAACCUCAUAUUUAGCUGGUAGUGGAAACAUGUAAAUCUGGUUAAGGUGAAAAAUCUGGCUUUGAUAUCUUCGUGGAGGACUACAUUAUUUCCAUCCUGAAUCUGGUUCAGUUUUCUUAUGGACUGAUUACUGUAUUAAAAAUGUUUAAUUAACUAUGGUGUUUGUUUUGAUAAAACCUUGCAACUUAACGAGAACUUUAACAAAUAUUAUUUCUUCUUAUGGUACAGAAAAAUGUUAAUAUUUUCAAAUCCGUAGGUUAUUCCAUUUCAAAAUUUAAUUUUAUCAACUUUGCACUAUCAGAGAAUGUGCUUUUUGAAUUGCUAAAUGAGUUAAAAUAUUAGAAAACACCUAUCUCAGCAGAGGCCCUUAAAUUAUUUUCAUCCUUCCACUAUCCAUAUAUUUUCACCAACCUGACAAUCCCAGGGCAUGAAUUUUACUGCAUAAGCAAUCUAAGUGUUUCUGUAGUAUUUCUAAUACAGGAUCUUUCACACAAGCUGAAUUCUUGCUGUUGGAGUAGAGGUUUUUUUCCUACAAGUAU